rnacentral:lncRNA from 1 species
AAGAGCCUAACUCAAGAAAACAUUACCAAAUUCAAUCAUUGAAUAAGAGUAUGAACAGGAUCAUUACCAUGCUAUGAUACCAGGUAAACUCCCUCUUUCAUCAAGCAAGGAGAUAAGUGCUAAUAACAUUUGAUCAUUCAACUUCAAUUAUUUUCAGAAAGGGCAGAGGAUGAAACAAUAUAUCGUUUAGUUAGUCGCAAGUGUGUAUUACGGCCAAAAAAAUCAUAGUGAGGGAGAUGCAACUUUAUUUAGAGAAACAGAGAUGCUCUCAGGCACUUUUUCCGAGGCUAAUCUUCUCUAAGCCUUUACUUUCAUUACAUCUCAACUCUUCGGAGGCGAAUUCUGGCACUAAGUUUAUUUAGUCCAAUUUAUAUGGUUGACAACACAAUAUAUUUUGAAUUGGGUUUUAAGUUGCACGAUAUCAUCCGAAGUGAAAUCAAAACUGGGGUGUGGUACAAAUGGACAAAACAUGGUCGAAACUUGACCAGACAAACUACUUUCAGGUCUCAUUUGUUUGCACUUAUUGGAUUUAUGAACCUGUUCAGACCUCAAACCAUUAAGUGCAUUUGUUUNNNNNN